rnacentral:rRNA from 1 species
CAGGCCUAACACAUGCAAGUCGAACGAGAAGCUAACUUCUGAUUCCUUCGGGAUGAUGCAGUUGGUAGAAAGUGGCGAACGGGUGAGUAACGCAUGGGUAAUCUACCCUGUAAGUGGGGGAUAACCCUCCGAAAGGAGGGCUAAUACCGCAUAAGGUCUUCACUUCUUAAGAAGUAAAGAUUAAAGAUGGCCUCUAUACUAUGCUAUCGCUUCAGGAUGAGCCCGCGUCCUAUUAGUUAGUUGGUGGGGUAAUGGCCUACCAAGACCACAAUGGGUAGCCGGUCUGAGAGGAUGUACGGCCACACUGGGACUGAGAUACGGCCCAGACUCCUACGGGAGGCAGCAGUGGGGAAUAUUGCGCAAUGGGGGAAACCCUGACGCAGCGACGCCGCGUGGAUGAUGAAGGCCUUUGGGUUGUAAAAUCCUGUUUUGGGGGAAGAAACCUUAAGGGUCCAAUAAGCCCUUAAGCUGACGGUACCCCAAGAGAAAGCUCCGGCUAAUUAUGUGCCAGCAGCCGCGGUAAUACAUAAGGAGCAAGCGUUAUCCGGAAUUAUUGGGCGUAAAGAGCUCGUAGGCGGUCUUAAAAGUCAGGUGUGAAAUUAUCAGGCUCAACCUGAUAAGGUCAUCUGAAACUUUAAGACUUGAGGAUAGAAGAGGGAAGUGGAAUUCCCGAU